AGUGAACGCUGGCGGUAGGCCUAACACAUGCAAGUCGAACGGCAGCACAGGAGAGCUUGCUCUCUGGGUGGCGAGUGGCGGACGGGUGAGGAAAUACAUCGGAAUCUACUUUUUCGUGGGGGAUAACGUAGGGAAACUUACGCUAAUACCGCAUACGACCUACGGGUGAAAGCAGGGGAACUUCGGGCCUUGCGCGAUUGAAUGAGCCGAUGUCGGAUUAGCCGGUUGGCGGGGUAAAGGCCCACCAAGGCGACGAUCCGUAGCUGGUCUGAGAGGAUGAUCAGCCACACUGGAACUGAGACACGGUCCAGACUCCUACGGGAGGCAGCAGUGGGGAAUAUUGGACAAUGGGCGCAAGCCUGAUCCAGCCAUACCGCGUGGGUGAAGAAGGCCUUCGGGUUGUAAAGCCCUUUUGUUGGGAAAGGAAUCCAGCUGGCUAAUACCCGGUUGGGAUGACGGUACCCAAAGAAUAAGCACCGGCUAACUUCGUGCCAGCCGCCGCGGUAA
rnacentral:rRNA from 1 species